CAGUCGAGCGGUAGAGAGAACUUGCUUCUCUUGAGAGCGGCGGACGGGUGAGUAAUGCCUAGGAAUCUGCCUAGUGGUGGGGGAUAACGUUCGGAAACGGACGCUAAUACCGCAUACGUCCUACGGGAGAAAGCGGGGGAUCUUCGGACCUCGCGCCAUUAGAUGAGCCUAGGUCGGAUUAGCUAGUUGGUGAGGUAAUGGCUCACCAAGGCGACGAUCCGUAACUGGUCUGAGAGGAUGAUCAGUCACACUGGAACUGAGACACGGUCCAGACUCCUACGGGAGGCAGCAGUGGGGAAUAUUGGACAAUGGGCGAAAGCCUGAUCCAGCCAUGCCGCGUGUGCGAAGAAGGUCUUCGGAUUGUAAAGCACUUUAAGUUGGGAGGAAGGGUAGUAACCUAAUACGUUGCUACUUUGACGUUACCGACAGAAUAAGCACCGGCUAACUUCGUGCCAGCAGCCGCGGUAAUACGAAGGGUGCAAGCGUUAAUCGGAAUUACUGGGCGUAAAGCGCGCGUAGGUGGUUCAGUAAGUUGGAAGUGAAAUCCCCGGGCUCAACCUGGGAACUGCUUUCAAAACUGCUGAGCUAGAGUACGGUAGAGGGUGGUGGAAUUUCCUGUGUAGCGGUGAAAUGCGUAGAUAUAGGAAGGAACACCAGUGGCGAAGGCGACCACCUGGACUGAUACUGACACUGAGGUGCGAAAGCGUGGGGAGCAAACAGGAUUAGAUACCCUGGUAGUCCACGCCGUAAACGAUGUCAACUAGCCGUUGGAAUCCUUGAGAUUUUUAGU
rnacentral:rRNA from 1 species